GCCAAAGAUGAAGCUGCUCUCAAGGUCAUCCGAGAGCAGCUCCAGUGCAGAGAUAAGGAUGAGGGGCAGCAGCUCCUGUUCCUUCAGGCCAUCUAGCCCGCAUGUCUGGCUGCACGGGAGAGAGGGGAGGACACGCUGGAGCCGCGCUGCUGCAAGGCGGCUGUGGUGAAGAGGAUCGUGGAGCUCAUCGAGGAGCUUCCCGAUGACUCGUCACCCAGCGCCGUCCUCGCCCACUCCCUGGCUGCAGUGGGCAACCUCUGCACCAUGAAACCUGCCCAGGAGCCAGCCCUAGAGACCCACCUCUUGCGAGCUGCCCUUCACUCCGUCUUCACCCUGGGCAUGGAGAAGGACACCACCGGCAUCCAGG